rnacentral:lncRNA from 1 species
CCAUCUCCUCCUCCACCAUACCACUACACCUCCCCACCUCCACCUUCUCCAUCUCCUCCCCCACCAUACGCUUACAAGUCUCCACCACCUCCUUCACCCUCUCCUCCUCCUCCAUACGUCUACAAGUCACCUCCACCUCCGGUGAAAUCUCCUCCACCACCGGUGUACAUUUACGCCUCUCCCCCACCUCCCACUCACUACUAGGCUCAAACACGUGCAUAGACCAAUCAUGUAAGUCGUCGAAUUUAGUCUCUGUUUUUGUUUUCACUUUAUUAAUUACCAAUGUAACAUUUUAAUCUAAACUUACUAAUUAACAAUGUAAUUGCAGGUUUUAAUUUAAGCAGCAGAAUAAAGGAAGGCUCCAUGAGCCGAAAGCAGAGACACCAAGCUUCCAAUCCAAGUCCAUUGUUGUCGACGGUGAAGAACAAGGGUCUGGCAGAAACAUCAGCCAUGACCAGCAACCUCAUCUUCCACAUGCUCUUACUAUACUCAUCAUCCAAAUCGGGAAUUUAAAGCAUUCAUCUUGGUCUUGGAAGGAACUAAUAAUUUGGCUUGGUCGUCUCAGUGUCGUCAUUUUUUCAUUUCUAAAUUAUAUUUCAUUGUAUAGGGUAGCAGUUACAUGGCCUUUUUUUUUUUUUUUCAAUUGUAUGAUUGGCUUCUAUUUAUUGUGAGGAUAAAUGUUUCUUUAGGCAUUCACUGAAUUAUUUAUCAAUAAAAAUGAUGAAUUACUUUCACUCUGUCUUCUACUAUCUGGCUUCAUAUCUAGCUAGCUUUUUG